rnacentral:rRNA from 1 species
UACGGAGGGUGCAAGCGUUGUCCGGAUUUAUUGGGUUUAAAGGGUGCGUAGGCGGCCCGUUAAGUCAGUGGUGAGAGCCUCCAGCUCAACUGGAGAACUGCCAUUGAUACUGACGGGCUUGAGUACAGACGAGGUUGGCGGAAUUGAUUGUGUAGCGGUGAAAUGCAUAGAUACAAUCAAGAACUCCGAUUGCGUAGGCAGCUAACUAGGCUGUAACUGACGCUGAGGCACGAAAGCGUGGGGAGCGAACAGG